UACGGGGGGGGCAAGCGUUGUUCGGAUUUACUGGGCGUAAAGGGCUCGUAGGUGGCCAACUAAGUCGGACGUGAAAUCCCUCAGCUUAACUGGGGAACUGCGUCCGAUACUGGAUGGCUCGAGUUUGGGAGAGGGAUGCGGAAUUCCAGGUGUAGCGGUGAAAUGCGUAGAUAUCUGGAGGAACACCGGUGGCGAAGGCGGCAUCCUGGACCAACACUGACACUGAGGAGCGAAAGCCAGGGGAGCAAACGGG
rnacentral:rRNA from 1 species